rnacentral:rRNA from 1 species
UACGUAGGGGGGCGAGCGUUGUCCGGAGUUACUGGGCGUAAAGGGCAUGCAGGCGGUCGGACGCGUUUCGGGUGACAGCGGGUGGCUUAACUACCCGAGUGGUCGAAAGACGGUUUGACUUGAGGACGCGAGAGGGACACGGAAUUCCGGGUGGAGUGGUGAAAUGCGUAGAGAUCCGGAGGAACACCGAAGGCGAAGGCAGUGUCCUGGCGCGUAACUGACGCUGAGGUGCGAAAGCGUGGGGAGCAAACAGG